ACUUUUUUUAGAAACAUCAGAGGAACACCUGAUCUUUAAACUAUUUCCUUUCCCUGGCAUGAACAUGUAAAAGUGACACUAGGUCAUUGCUGGGAUCAGGCAGCACCAUUGCCUAAUCUUUUUCCAAAAACAUAUAUCAAUAGAGAAGUUGCACCAGAAACACAAAAAUAUAGCAUGUGAACAUCUUAUAUUUUUGUUCAACCAAACCAUCUAAUCAUAUUACAAAUAGGAGGUGCAAAAUCCUAUUUGAUGGGGAAGAAACUGAAAGUAUGAAGGCUGAGGAGGCCCUUCACUUGAGCACCGACUCCUAAUCCGAGGAGGAGGAUGCGGCGUCCGAGGCAUCUGCGCCGAACUUGUGCUUGAAGGCGUCCUGGCGCUGCAUCCACAUCAUGUGGCCCUGAUGCAUGCAGGAAGAAAAUUUGGGGAUUUGGAUUUCAGUCAGAUCGGAGCCGGGGGGCGGGGGUACAAGGAAGGAAGGAGGCAAAUCGAUGACAAGCUACCUACCUGCAGCGCGGCUGCCCAUCCGACGAGGAAGGAGGCCACCCAGAAGCGCUUCUCCUUCACCAGCUUCGACAGAUCCACCGCCGCCAUUAGGAGGGAUUCCCUUCCCUAGUUCCCUUUCUGCUACUCCUUUGCUUGCUACAAGGAAGAAGAAGACUGAGGUCGACGACGACCAGGAAGCCCAUGGGCUACGAAGAAAAUGGAGGCCAGGAGCCCACGGGCCAUGCGCAGAACACGGUCCACAUUUUUACUGGGCUGCUUGCUUUUAGUUCGACACGUUUGCUUGUGCUUCUGAUAAAGAUCCGUAAUAGUAGACUUUG
rnacentral:lncRNA from 1 species